CCUACGGGUGGCUGCAGUGGGGAAUAUUGGACAAUGGGCGAAAGCCUGAUCCAGCCAUGCCGCGUGUGUGAAGAAGGCCUUCGGGUUGUAAAGCACUUUCAGUGGGGAAGAAAGCCUUGGGGCUAAUACCCUCGAGGAAGGACAUCACCCACAGAAGAAGCACCGGCUAACUCCGUGCCAGCAGCCGCGGUAAUACGGAGGGUGCGAGCGUUAAUCGGAAUUACUGGGCGUAAAGCGCGCGUAGGCGGUCUGAUAAGCCGGUUGUGAAAGCCCCGGGCUCAACCUGGGAACGGCAUCCGGAACUGUCAGGCUAGAGUGCAGGAGAGGAGGGUAGAAUUCCCGGUGUAGCAGUGAAAUGCGUAGAGAUCGGGAGGAAUACCAGUGGCGAAGGCGGCCUUCUGGACUGACACUGACGCUGAGGUGCGAAAGCGUGGGUAGCAAACAGGAUUAGAUACCCCAGUAGUC
rnacentral:rRNA from 1 species